rnacentral:rRNA from 1 species
GACAGAGGGUGCAAACGUUGUUCGGAAUUACUGGGCGUAAAGCGCGUGUAGGCGGCUCGGCAAGUCGGGUGUGAAAGCCCUGGGCUUAACCUAGGAAGUGCACUCGAAACUGCCAAGCUUGAGUUCUGGAGAGGAAGGCGGAAUUCUCGGUGUAGAGGUGAAAUUCGUAGAUAUCUGGAGGAACACCGGUGGCGAAGGCGGCUCACUGGACCGAGUCUGACACUGAGGUGCGAAAGCUAGGGUAGCAAACGGG